GACCACUCUCUCUAAGGGCAAAAGAGCCCCGUAACUUCGGGGGAAGGGGUGCCUCCUCAGGAGCAGCAGUGACCAGGCCCGGGCGACUCCAAAAACCUAUCUAUCUAUACAGGCUGGUCUCCGCCCGCAAAGUCGUAAGACCUUGUAUGUAUGGGGGAGCCCCGGAAGGUUAAGGAAGUUGGUGACCUGAUGACAGGCCCCGGUGAACGGCGUCACUAUAAUCUAAGGUAGCAAAAUUCCUUGUCGGGUAAGUUCCGACCCGCACGAAAGAAAGGGGCGAACGAUCUGGUGUCUCGGAGAGAGAC
rfam:Picea glauca, whole genome shotgun sequence.